AUAAUCCAGCAUUGUCCUGAAGAUUUCAGGCCUAUUAGAAAUGAACCUACCACCAGCAUCCUUGUUUGUUCAAGAGGAGGCGGGGGUCUGUUAAGGGAACGCAUGGAACUUGUUGCUGAAUUGUGGGAGGAGAAUAUCAAGGCUGAGCUUGUUCCUAUACAUGAUCCGAGCCUCACUGAGCAAUACGAAUUUGCAAGUGAACAUGAUAUAAAAUGUCUUGUUAUCAUAACUGACACGGGUGUAUCUCAAACUGGAUUCGUUAAGGUUCGUCAUCUUGAUCUUAAGAAGUAGAAGGAGGUUCAGAGAGAAGAUCUUGUAAGAUUUCUGUUGAAUGCAAUGGGGGACACAAUUCCGUAACCCUUCAGUUUGGAUCCAGUAACGCCUACAUCAAUUAGCAGGUUCUUAGUAGCCUUAUGCUCCCAUCGUAACUUUUCAACGAUUCUCCAAAUAUAUCUUUACUGAGAUGAGAUUUUGUUUGUAUUUAUCGCGUGUUGUUUACCCUUCAAACAAUAGGUGUAUAAGUCAGAAUUCUUCCUUGCUGUCUCCUCUGGUGCCAGAUUAUGUUAACUGUGUAGUCUUUUGCAUGAAUCUAUCACCAAGUUUUUGCAGCUUUAGUUUUGAUUGAAUUACAUUACAUGUUACGUAAAUUCAUCCGAAACCAAUGUAAAUACACAACGCUCCGGGUCUAUGUAUCAAACAAAAUACAAAA